GAUGAACGCUAGCUACAGGCUUAACACAUGCAAGUCGAGGGGUCUGCUUCGGCAGACGACCGGCGCACGGGUGAGUAACGCGUAUCCAACCUGCCCUUCAUAUUGGGAUAGCCUCUCGAAAGGGAGAUUAAUACCGAAUAACAUGGUAGUUUUGCAUGAGAUUACCAUGAAAGCUCCGGCGAUGAAGGAUGGGGAUGCGUUCCAUUAGGUAGUAGGCGGGGUAACGGCCCACCUAGCCGACGAUGGAUAGGGGUUCUGAGAGGAAGGUCCCCCACACUGGAACUGAGACACGGUCCAGACUCCUACGGGAGGCAGCAGUGAGGAAUAUUGGUCAAUGGCCGAGAGGCUGAACCAGCCAUGCCGCGUGAAGGUCACGGCCCUAUGGGUCUUAAACUUCUUUGUUAGGGAGCAAUAAGUUCUACGUGUAGGAUGAUGAGAGUACCUAACGAAUAAGCAUCGGCUAACUCCGUGCCAGCAGCCGCGGU
rnacentral:rRNA from 1 species